UACGUAGGAUGCAAGCGUUGUCCGGAUUUACUGGGCGUAAAGGGCGCGCAGGCGGCCUGUCAAGUCACACGUGAAAGCCCCCGGCUAAACCGGGGAGGGUCGUGUGAGACUGGGAGGCUGGAGUGCAGCAGAGGAUAGCGGAAUUCCCGGUGUAGUGGUGAAAUGCGUAGAUAUCGGGAGGAACACCAGUGGCGAAAGCGGCUAUCUGGGCUGUAACUGAUGCUGAGGCGCGAAGGCUAGGGUAG
rnacentral:rRNA from 1 species